AUACCUUUCUCGGCCUUUUGGCUAAGAUCAAGUGUAGUAUCUGUUCUUAUCAGUUUAAUAUCUGAUACGUGGGCCAUCGGCCCACAUGAUAUUAAAUUAAUUUUUUUAGGGGGAGGGCCUAUCACGGUAGCUUGCUGCUGGGGCUCUCGAGUGUCGUCCAAUGCGUUGCACUACAGCUUGGGCCUGGCGCACCCCUC